CGGGUGGUAAUGCCGGAUGCUCCAGUUGAUCGCAUGGUCUUCUGGGAAAGGUUUCGCGGUAUGGGAUGGGGUCGCGUCCUAUCAGCUUGACGGCGGGGUAACGGCCCACCGUGGCUUCGACGGGUAGCCGGCCUGAGAGGGCGACCGGCCACAUUGGGACUGAGAUACGGCCCAGACUCCUACGGGAGGCAGCAGUGGGGAAUAUUGCACAAUGGGCGCAAGCCUGAUGCAGCGACGCCGCGUGAGGGAUGGAGGCCUUCGGGUUGUAAACCUCUUUUAUCGGGGAGCAAGCGAGAGUGAGUUUACCCGUUGAAUAAGCACCGGCUAACUACGUGCCAGCAGCCGCGGUAAUACGUAGGGUGCAAGCGUUAUCCGGAAUUAUUGGGCGUAAAGGGCUCGUAGGCGGUUCGUCGCGUCCGGUGUGAAAGUCCAUCGCUUAACGGUGGAUCCGCGCCGGGUACGGGCGGGCUUGAGUGCGGUAGGGGAGACUGGAAUUCCCGGUGUAACGGUGGAAUGUGUAGAUAUC
rnacentral:rRNA from 1 species